CUACGGAAGGGCCUCAACUCCAUCGUAGCACUCUCUGCUUGGUCCAUUUGAAAGCACCGCAACGCGGUCAUUUUCGAGAACCGGUGCCCCUCCACUGAAGACCUAAUACGCUUGAUCAAAGACGAUGCCCGCCUUUGGGCUAAGGCGGGUGCUCGAGGGCUAGCCGCGAUUAUCCCUGUAACUUAA
rnacentral:rRNA from 1 species